rnacentral:pre_miRNA from 1 species
AUGACCUAUGAAUUGACAGCCAGUGUUGUAUGGCGCCUGCCUGUCAGUUCUAUAGGCCACAG